AGAAUCAACGCUGGCGGCGUGCCUAACACAUGCAAGUCGAACGAGAAAGUGGAGCAAUCCAUGAGUAAAGUGGCGCACGGGUGAGUAACACGUGACUAACCUACCUUUUAGUGGGGGAUAACCUAGGGAAACCUGGGCUAAUACCGCAUAAUACCUACGGGUCAAAGCAGCAAUGCGCUGGAAGAGGGGGUCGCGGCCGAUUAGCUAGUUGGCGGGGUAAUGGCCCACCAAGGCAGUGAUCGGUAUCCGGCCUGAGAGGGCGCACGGACACACUGGAACUGAAACACGGUCCAGACUCCUACGGGAGGCAGCAGUGGGAAUUUUGCGCAAUGGGGGAAACCCUGACGCAGCAACGCCGCGUGGAGGAUGAAGACCCUUGGGUCGUAAACUCCUUUCGAUCGGGAAGAUAAUGACGGUACCGGAAGAAGAAGCCCCGGCUAACUUCGCGCCAGCAGCCGC
rnacentral:rRNA from 1 species